GACGAACGCUGGCGGCGUGCUUAACACAUGCAAGUCGAACGGAAAGGCCCUGCUUUUGUGGGGUGCUCGAGUGGCGAACGGGUGAGUAACACGUGAGUAACCUGCCCUUGACUUUGGGAUAACUUCAGGAAACUGGGGCUAAUACCGGAUAGGAGCUCCUGCUGCAUGGUGGGGGUUGGAAAGUUUCGGCGGUUGGGGAUGGACUCGCGGCUUAUCAGCUUGUUGGUGGGGUAGUGGCUUACCAAGGCUUUGACGGGUAGCCGGCCUGAGAGGGUGGCCGGCCACAUGGGGACUGAGAUACGGCCCAGACUCCUACGGGAGGCAGCAGUGGGGAAUAUUGCACAAUGGGCGGAAGCCUGAUGCAGCAACGCCGCGUGCGGGAUGACGGCCUUCGGGUUGGAAACCGCUUUCGCCUGUGACGAAGCGUGAGUGACGGUAAUGGGGAAAGAAGCACCGGCUAACUACGU
rnacentral:rRNA from 1 species